GCGCGGUCAGGUCGAGCACCACGUAGGCAAACCGCAUAGGUCAAAGCAACUCCGAGGCGACCUCCUUGAAAAUUUUGGUAUCUCACACGAUCAUCAAGCAAAACUAGCUCGAUCCAAAGCUAGCUAGUAGUGCGUUGGUCAACUUGAUUGACCGACUUCGGCUAGCCACACAAUUCCUUUAUACGUACACAACACAACAGCCCGAUUUCUUUUAGGCUGGAAAGAUUCGACGUACGCCCAGGACUUGAUUGAUUUUGAUGGUAAUAUAAUAGCAGCAACGACGGCUCGGAAAGAGAAACAUCAGCAAUGCUUGAAGGGCGGCGGCGGCCGGGCUCAAGGACGGCAGUGGCGACCCAAACUGCGUCGACUUCCGGCUGGCUCUUCGUCAGGGUCAGUGAGUCGCCAAAUCUAGGCGGGCCACUAGUAAUUCGCCGUGGAAGGGCGGGUCAUCAGUGAAUCGCUUAAGUUUAAUUGGAUCAUAUAACCGGUCGGGUUAUUGCCGCGGGGUAUAUCCCCGAUACCGCUGGAUCUUCCCCUCCACCCACCUUGGUUUGGCGUCCGAAGAUGUGGAACGGGAUGUCCAUGAGGUGGGGCUGGCUUCACCUCCGCCCCUCCCUUCCACGGGGCUCGCGCAGCUGCCAGCCGCCCGUGAUGGAUGCGAUGGCGAGGGCGACCGACAGCUCCCCCUGGUGAGGAUCGGAGGAUGAACCCAUCGUACUCGCAGCACGCGUCGCUGGUGUACACGCCGGUGCCGAUCAAGAAGAUUUUGUAUGCUCCAGGAGGAGCAGGUGGUGUACGAGGCAGCCAGUUGCAAUGGAGGAGGACGAGAUCCACGAGGAGGGCUUCCUGGAGAUAUCACAACAUCUCCAAAUGUUACAACAAGGAGAAGAAAAGGCAAGAUGUUUAAGGCUGGUGCACCCUGUUUAAAUGAAUGGUUUUACAGUUUUGCGAUGAACAAUAUGAGAAAGCUGCUGCUGGAGGUGGUGGAUUCGAGGGCGGUUUUGAAAAUCCUAUUGAGGAUAUUUUCGGUUCUCUUAUGACUGUAUAGGCAGAAUGAAUGACAAGAGGUGAAUGGUAUAUUGGUAUUGUACAGAGUCUUCAAUCCAAAGGUAUAAACAUAAUGCAGUGCCAUAAAAAUUUCUACUUGCUAUAAUGCAGUUUCGACUAUGUCAAAAAGGUGCGGGUGCACAUCAUUUACAUUGGUCUAUCAUACAAAAAUGCAGGGUAAUGCUUGCUGGAUAUAGGGACUGCUGCAACCUACAUGUAUUACAACACAAGAAUACUAUACAACUUAUCUGGUUUACAACAUAUCUAUCAUUAUGAAAUUAUAGUAA